ensembl:bidirectional_promoter_lncRNA
AAAAAAGAACGAGCCCAUCCCAGUGACAACACAGACACUGGGCAGCUCUGGGAGGAUUUUUUUCCCCCAUUGCCAAAAUAUGAGGAAUGCUCGCUGGGCACCGGAGUGGCGCUGGCACGUUUCCGAGAACCACUGGGAAAUCUGAGCAGGGGUGUGGAAACUGGCUCGCCGGCCAUGACACCCGGCCCGCGCCCGGCCCGCCACCAGGAUGACAGCGGCCUGGCCGACCCUGCGCCCCACGGCCGCACCGUCAGCCCUGUGGCCUACCUGAGGGAGCCGGGCAGUGCCGGGUCCCGUCGUGCAGCGUCAGUGGUGGUUGAGAGAACGGGUGGCGGUCACAUUCGGCGUGUCCCCAGCCCGGGGGACGGGGCCCCGGGAAGGCCCCGCAUCGCUGCACUAGCGCCCCGCGCCUCAGGGCACGCGCCCCAAAGCUCGGCCAGCUGGCCCGUCCGAGGGGCUGCGGAGAACAGCGGAGGAACCUUCCCGCCUCAAGCCCGCUCGGCUCUAACUCCCGCCAUCCAAGAUGGCGGCACCAGCACCCGCGAUGAAGACGCUCUCAGGGCUGUCCGGGGCGAGCUAGCCCUGCGCUCGACACUCGUCUCCACGACCUGCGGCGCCGGCGGGCUCACUGCCUCUGCGCGAGCUCUCGGGCUCGGCUGGCCGCUUAAAACUGGGCUCGGGGAUCCAUCGCUCCGGCCUGGAAUGUGGCCCCGCCUCCGGGGGCGUGGCCUCGCGGUUCGGUCCUGCGGCCGCCAUUUCGGGGUUGACUCGGUGGUGGCGGUGUGACUGUCUCUGGUCGCAGGCCAGCGGUAUGGAGCCGCAGCCGCGCUCCGGCCACCCGCGAGGCCCUCGGCGGGCCAGACGCGCCUGGUGACACACGGCGCAGGACCCCAGCUCUGGUGCUUCCUCUCCGAAGUUGACAUCCGUGGAGAAUGGCGGCCUAGGGGUUUUGUGGGAAAGCCCUCAUACUAUGGGAAAUCUCAGGUUCCUCAUUUGUAGGUCGAGGGUUCGCUGUAGAACACCAGGUUGACCAAAAACUAAAAAUAUGGUGUUGCAUACCUGUAAUGCCAGCGCUUGGAAAGUGAGGGCAGGAGGGUCAGGAGUUCACGGUCAUAUGAGCUGCAUGACCCCCUGUCUCAAAAAAUAAUCAUUAAAAAAAAGGAUAGAAAAUUAAAAUUGGCCCAUGGUAAAGGGUGUUGUGCGUCUUCGUACAGCCCCAAUGGAAUAGACACCUGGAGGGCAAUGUGUAUUGUCAAUUGUGCUUUUUCUCCCCUCUUUGAAAUAGGUUCUCUAUCUAUCUAUUUAUUUAUUUAUUGUGGUUUUUCAAGACAGGGUUUCUUUGUCUAACAGGCCUGUCUGUCCUGGAACUCACUUUGUAAACCAGGCUGGCCUCGAACAAAGAGAUCGGUCUGCCUCUGCCUCUUGAGUGCUGGGAUUAAAGGCAUGUGCCAGAUUCCCUCUUAAUUUGAGGCUGGCCUCAGACUCCGGUUCUCCUACCUCUGUAGCCAUUUGGGGACCCGCAAGGUGACUCAGAGUAAAAAAGUUUGCAGAUGAUGGUCCCCUGAUGGAAGAGAGAACAGGGUCCUGAAAGUUAUCCUCUGACCUCAAUUCGAACCCGGUGCUACGUGCACAACCUGCAACCGCAUUUACAAAUACACAGUCAAUUUUUUUUUUUAAGUCAUCAUUUAUAAGUAAACAUCUCUUGGCAUUUAGUACAUUCACAAUAUUGUGUAACCACAACUUUAGUUCCAAAACAUUUCCAUUACUCUGAAAUAAAAUUACCCACU